GAUCAUGGCAGGUUCGAACCGUUCGGCAUCUCUAAAGGACACUCAACGUGCAAUUCCUGUUGGGACCUUAGCUGCAACUUUGACUACCACCAGUUUAUAUCUGGUUUCUGUGCUACUAUUCGGAGCUGUUGCAACUAGAGAUAAGCUUUUGACUGAUAGGUUAUUAUCUGCUACAGUUGCCUGGCCAUUUCCGGCUAUUGUUUAUGUUGGUAUAAUCCUCUCAACCUUGGGGGCAGCCCUUCAAAGCCUUACUGGUGCUCCACGUCUCCUUGCAGCGAUUGCAAAUGAUGAAAUUCUACCUGUUCUUAACUAUUUUAAAGUGGCAGAUGGACAUGAGCCUCAUGUGGCUACUCUCUUCACUGCCAUCAUCUGCAUUGGUUGUGUUGUAAUCGGGAAUCUAG
rnacentral:misc_RNA from 1 species